UCCUAGAGCACACUCUACUACUAGAUGGAC
rnacentral:piRNA from 1 species